AUGGGUUUUGUGAAACUAAAUACUGAUGCUUCCUUUGAUCACGAUCUGCUUAGGAGCACAACAGGGGCUGUCCUCAGAGAUGACAAAGGAAGGUUCAUUGUUGGCGGAAAUUGGAGGAUUGAUUGGUGUGUUGAUGUAUUAACAGGAGAAGCACUAGCUCUAAGGUUUGGCUUAAUCCUUGCACAGAAGGCUGGUUGCAAUCGCCUUAUUGUCAACUCUGAUAAUAUGGAAGUGAUUGACACAAUGAAAAAUGGAGGACAAUCAGCGGCGGCAAUGUUCGACGAUUGCUAUUUUAUGGCAUGUGAUUUUUCUGUUAGGUUUGAACAUUAUAAUAGGAAAGCAAAUAAGGUUGCUCAUGAACUUGCUAGACUAGCGAAAUUUUCAGAGACUAGGGAUUGGUGUGAGGAGCCUAUGGAGGAUAUUGUAUCUUUUCUUAUUGAUGAUGUAACUCUUAUUUCCAAUUAA
rnacentral:rRNA from 1 species